AACUCUGGUAUUGAUUGGUGCUUGCAUCAUGAUUUACAUUUGAGUGAGUGGCGAACUGGUGAGUAACACGUGGGAAACCUGCCCAGAAGCGGGGGAUAACACCUGGAAACAGAUGCUAAUACCGCAUAACAACUUGGACCGCAUGGUCCGAGCUUGAAAGAUGGCUUCGGCUAUCACUUUUGGAUGGUCCCGCGGCGUAUUAGCUAGAUGGUGGGGUAACGGCUCACCAUGGCAAUGAUACGUAGCCGACCUGAGAGGGUAAUCGGCCACAUUGGGACUGAGACACGGCCCAAACUCCUACGGGAGGCAGCAGUAGGGAAUCUUCCACAAUGGACGAAAGUCUGAUGGAGCAACGCCGCGUGAGUGAAGAAGGGUUUCGGCUCGUAAAACUCUGUUGUUAAAGAAGAACAUAUCUGAGAGUAACUGUUCAGGUAUUGACGGUAUUUAACCAGAAAGCCACGGCUAACUACGUGCCAGCAGCCGCGGUAAUACGUAGGUGGCAAGCGUUGUCCGGAUUUAUUGGGGUAAAGCGAGCGCAGGCGGUUUUUUAAGUCUGAUGUGAAAGCCUUCGGCUCAACCGAAGAAGUGCAUCGGAA
rnacentral:rRNA from 2 species